GGCCUCCCAAAGUGCUGGGAUUACAGGACGAGGACUCAUUUUAUCUGUCAUCUAUCACAGCAUACGCUUUCUACGUCCCAGGCACGUAGCAGUCUCGCUAUUUAAAUCACAUCUACCACUGCCUGCCCAUGAGGAGGCAUGCCGAGGGGCCACUUUGCCCAUUCAGCUGGGAGAUCCGAAGAGCAGGUGAAGAGCUGUGAACAGUGGAGCCAGGCUUGAUGUCAGACGUCAUUGAGGAGAAGCACCGACGUCACAAACUCGCUGCUACAGGAGAAACCAGGUGGAGGUGAUAGCGUCAUGCGGGCGGUUUCCCUCAUGCUGUUCUCGCCAUAGUGAGUGAGUUCUCACUGAAGGUUUUAUAAGGGGCACUUCCUCCUUUGCUCGCCGCUUUCUCUCACCUGCCGCCAUGUAAGAAGUGCCUCUUCCAUGUCUGCCAUAAUUGUGAAUUUCCUGAGGCCUCCCCAGACCUGAGAAAAACUGUGAGUCGGUUAAACCUCUUUUCUUUAUAAAAUACCAAGU